rnacentral:lncRNA from 1 species
CGGUCCUCAGCUCCUGCUCAGGAUUCACAUCGGGCUCCGUGGGAGACUCCGCGCGGUGACCUCAUAUCCGCUUGCCCACCUCUCAUCCGGGGUCAGGGAGCAGCCAAACGUAAACACACCAGGAGUUUCCCGGACCCAGGUUCUGGCUCCUGCGUGGAUCGCCAAGCCUUGGCGAAUCCUUGCAGCCAACCGAAGUCAGAGGAGGCGUCAAGCUAGCCCGACAGACAGCGGGUAAUCGGAAGUCCGCACGAGAGUGGUUAUUUCCGGGAUCGGUGUUAGACGGCCGCACUGCUGUUGCCCGCCACGCGCGCCGAGUGCGCAUGUGCAAAGCGAGAGCGACCUGGCGGGUGGUCCGGAGAGCCCGAGGUACAGGUCCGCGGGGGCAGAAAUGCCCGGUCGCCCUCUGUACGACGUGGCGUGCGGUCACUACCGCACAGGGUGACCUCGAGCAGUGAGUGGCACUGUGCAGGGCGCGCUGCCUGUGCCACGCGCAGAGGAGGGCCCUGAAUCAAUAGUGGUUGUUAGUUGGAAACAAUCUAAGUGCUCAGCAGUAUUGAGGAUUUACAGCAUUCCCCGAGUUAUCCUUGGAACGUCUGCACGGUGCAACGCACUGCUUUAGGUCUUUGGAAAACAGCAGCAAACAAGACAGACCCCAGACUCGUGGAGUGGACCUACUAGGGGAGUAAAGAUAAAGAAUAAGUGAAUUAUACAAUUAUGUUAGAAGGUGGCAAAUGCCUUGAGACAAAAGAACAGGGUCGGGGCAAAGAGGGGGCGAUGCAGUAUUAGGAUGGGCACUAGGCUACAGAGACAGAUUGAGCAGAAAACCAGAAAGAAGGCAAAAGAGUGAACCAUGUGGCUCCUUGAAGAAAGCUGAAGCUGAGGCCCAGAGGCGGGAGAGACAGGUGGAGGAGAAGGAACUGGGAUGUGGGUCCAGUGGACAGGGGGUCAGGAACAGCACAGAUCAGCUAGGAUUUUGCAGGCUACUCAAGGACUUUGGUCUUGCUCUUGAUAAAAUAGGAAGCAUUGCAGGGUUUGAACAGGGGAGGGAUGUGCUUGAAUAGAUUUAAAUAGGUUCACCGGGAGUGGGGAGGGGAGUAGGCAUGGAACCUACUGCUGAGAGAUGUUUACCUGCAUCCCUGUAAUUAUUUUUAAAAGCCUAGGUAAAGGCCAUUGAUGGCAAUGACUACAGGAGCGCUUAAACUCAGAACAGCCUGCAGAGGGCAAUGCUGUCCCCUUCUCUGAGGACUCUGGC